AUGUCUUCUCCUAAAUGCUUGUUAGUGUUGUUCCUGCUCGCAGUAGCAGUGAUUCUCUCCGCAACCCCCUCAUCACUCGCUGAUGAUCGUCAUGAACCUCCUAAAGGUAAAGGCAAGAAACCACCUCCAAAACAUAAGCCACCACAUGGUCACUUUUUGAGUGAAAAUGUAGAGGACUUUCAUGGACCUCCAAAAGGCAAGGGAGAGAAACCACCACCUGAAUACAGACCUCCACCUCAUCACAAACCACCACAUAAGC
rnacentral:misc_RNA from 1 species